UACGUAGGGGGCAAGCGUUGUCCGGAAUCAUUGGGCGUAAAGCGCGCGUAGGCGGCCCGGUAAGUCCGCUGUAAAAGUCCAAGGCUCAACCUUGGAAUGCCGGUGGAUACUGUCGGGCUAGAGUCCGGAAGAGGCGAGUGGAAUUCCUGGUGUAGCGGUGGAAUGCGCAGAUAUCAGGAAGAACACCAAUGGCGAAGGCAGCUCUCUGGGACGGUACUGACGCUGAGACGCGAAAGCGUGGGGAGCGAACAGG
rnacentral:rRNA from 1 species